UACGGGGGGGGCAAGCGUUGUUCGGAAUUACUGGGCGUAAAGGGCGCGUAGGCGGCCAACUAAGUCAGACGUGAAAUCCCUCGGCUUAACCGGGGAACUGCGUCUGAUACUGGAUGGCUAGAGGUUGGGAGAGGGAUGCGGAAUUCCAGGUGUAGCGGUGAAAUGCGUAGAUAUCUGGAGGAACACCGGUGGCGAAGGCGGCAUCCUGGACCAAUUCUGACGCUGAGGAGCGAAAGCCAGGGGAGCAAACGGG
rnacentral:rRNA from 1 species